rnacentral:rRNA from 1 species
CCUACGGGUGGCUGCAGUGGGGAAUAUUGGACAAUGGGCGAAAGCCUGAUCCAGCCAUGCCGCGUGUGUGAAGAAGGCCUUCGGGUUGUAAAGCACUUUCAGUGGGGAAGAAAGCCUUGGGGCUAAUACCCUCGAGGAAGGACAUCACCCACAGAAGAAGCACCGGCUAACUCCGUGCCAGCAGCCGCGGUAAUACGGAGGGUGCGAGCGUUAAUCGGAAUUACUGGGCGUAAAGCGCGCGUAGGCGGUCUGAUAAGCCGGUUGUGAAAGCCCCGGGCUCAACCUGGGAACGGCAUCCGGAACUGUUAAGCUAGAGUGAAGGAGAGGAAGGUAGAAUUCCCGGUGUAGCGGUGAAAUGCGUAGAGAUCGGGAGGAAUACCAGUGGCGAAGGCGGCCUUCUGGACUGACACUGACGCUGAGGUGCGAAAGCGUGGGUAGCAAACAGGACUAGAUACCCUUGUAGUC